rnacentral:tRNA from 1 species
GCCCCGAUAGUUCAGUGGAUAGAACGAGGCCCUCCUAAGGCUUAGACGCAGGUUCGAUUCCUGCUCGGGGCACCA